CACAGACUAGGUGAGUCCUGGGAGAAGGUGACUUGAAUGCAGACCAGGCUCAAAGGUAACGUUUAUAUUGAGGACUAGGUUUUUCCUGUUAGACACUAACUGAAGAACGUUUGGUGCCUGUUACUCCCCAUCCCAGUAUUAAUGCCAUUGGCAAGCAGCAAAUAAAAUUUGAUGUUGAAUAUUUCAGGAGAAAUAAGAUCUGAAUGGAGGACAUGGCAGCAGGAAACCAGUGCACAGUGGCUGAGUUCUUCUUGGCUGGGCUCUCAGAGAAGCCAGAACUCCAGCUGCCACUCUUCCUCCUCUUCACAGGAAUCUAUCACUGUAGCAGGGAACCUGGGCAUGAUCACACUGAUUGGGCUCAGUUCCCACUUGCACACACCCAUGUACUAUUUCCUCAGCAGUCUGUCCUUCAUUGACUUCUGUCAGUCCACAGUUAUCACCCCUAAAAUGUUGGUGAGCUUUCUGACAGAGAAGAACAUCAUCUUUUACUCUGGAUGCAUGGCUCAGCUCUACUUCUUCAUCAUUUUUGGCGUUGCAGAGUGCUACACAUUAGCUGCAAUGGCAUAUGACCGCUAUGUUGCCAUCUGUAAUCCCUUGCUUUACAGUGUAUCCAUGUCUUAUCAGAUUUACAGUUCUCUGAUUUCAGGAGUGUAUAUUUUUGCUGUGGUUUGCUCUUCAGUAAUCACUGGCUUUAUGCUUAGGAUUCAGUUCUGCAAGUUAGAUGUGAUCAACCACUAUUUCUGUGAUCUUCUUCCACUCUUGAAACUUGCACGCUCUAAUACCUAUAUCAAUGAAAUGUUGACAUUAUUUGUUAGUAUGUUUAAUAUCUGUGUCCCAGUGAUGACCAUUAUUACUUCCUACAUUUUCAUUAUAGCCACCAUUCUCAACAUUCACUCCAGGGAGGGCAAGUUCAAGGCUUUUAGUACCUGCAGUUCACACAUCUCUGCUGUUGCCAUUUUCUAUGGUUCUGGUGCAUUCAUGUACUUACAACCAUCAUCAGUGAGUUCAAUGGACCAAGGGAAAGUGUCCUCUGUGUUUUAUACUACUGUUGUUCCCAUGCUGAACCCCUUGAUCUACAGCCUGAGGAAUAAAGAUGUCAGUGUUGCAUUGAAGAAAAUACUUGAAAGGAAAAAAGUCAUGUAAGCAGAAUUAUGUGAAGAUAAUUUAUCACAGCAAAGUAAUUAAAAAUACACAAAAAUUUUUAUUUAACCCCACCUGUCAUUAUUAUUGCGUAGUCUAACAUCAUUUGAUAAUUUUUACUGUUACAAAUUGCAACUUAAUUUUCAAGCAUCUACUAUGUUAUAUGAUUAUAGAAUAGAAUGGAUGACAUGAACUGUUAUGCCUAUAAAGUUAUUGCAUCAUGUUAUGUAUAUUUCUCAUCAUGUUUAAUAAUUAUUACUCUAAAAUAUAAACCACCUCCUUAAUUAUAACAAAAUCAUACCAUCUAAAUUAAUUUUUAUGUCAUUUUUGAGAAUUUCAUAUUUGAGUGCUAUAAUUAUAUCAGUUCCCUCAUCUCCCUCCAACCACACUCAUGUUCUCCCUGCUCUAUUUCAAAUUAACACUCUCUCUUAUUUUAAUCAAUAUAUACCCAUAGUAAGUCUCAUUCUGCUCUCAGUAAUCACUAGUUUCUCACAGCUCUUAAUCUCAGAAUGGAGUGCUUGAAAUUUCCAAGUUCUACAUUGGAGAGCAUGUGUUGUCUAUCUUUCUAGCUCUGAGUCACCUCCAUCAGUCUAUUCUAGUACCAUUUAUUUACAUGAAAAUUUCAAAAUUCUAUUUUUUUUAUACCUAAAUAAAAUUCCACUGUGUUUUCGUCAUCAUUGCAUCAUUCAUAGGUCAUGUAGGUCAUUUUCAUUUCUUUGCUCUUGUGAAUGGCAGUAUAUGGAACAUGGAGGAACAGUUAACUGUGGUAUAGAAUGUCAAGUCCUUUGGUCACAGGACAAGGAUUGGAAUUCCAGGGUCAUAUGUUAUAUUAUUUAUUUAUGAACUUACUUACUUAUUUGCUUAUUUACUCUCUUAGUUACUUGUUUAACUCACCACAGCAUAUUCAAAAGUAGCUGCAAUUGUUUGCAAUACUGUCAAUAAUGAAUGAAAUUUAGUCUCCUUUCCUCAACAUUCUCUCAACAUAUUUUGUAUUCUGAUUUUAUUCUGAAUAAAAUAGGGCAACUUGAAAUCUAAAA